UACAGAGGUCCCGAGCGUUGUUCGGAUUCAUUGGGCGUAAAGGGUGCGUAGGCGGCGGGGCAAGUCUGAUGUGAAAUCCCGGGGCUCAACCCCGGAACUGCAUUGGAUACUGCCUUGCUCGAGUACUGGAGAGGGAACUGGAAUUUACGGUGUAGCAGUGAAAUGCGUAGAGAUCGUAAGGAAGGCCAGUGGCGAAGGCGAGUUCCUGGACAGUUACUGACGCUGAGGCACGAAGGCCAGGGGAGCGAACGGG
rnacentral:rRNA from 1 species